rnacentral:rRNA from 1 species
AUGAACGCUAGCGGCAGGCCUAACACAUGCAAGUCGAGGGGCAGCACAGGUAGCAAUACUGGGUGGCGACCGGCGGAUGGGUGCGUAACGCGUAUGCAACCUACCAUUGAUUGGGGCAUAGCCCGAAGAAAUUCGGAUUAAUACUCCAUAAUAUUCAUCAAAGGCAUCUUUUAUGAAUUAAAGCUUUUGCGAUCAAUGAUGGGCAUGCGUGACAUUAGUUAGUUGGUGAGGUAAUGGCUCACCAAAACGAUGAUGUCUAGGGGUUCUGAGAGGAUUAUCCCCCACACUGGUACUGAGACACGGACCAGACUCCUACGGGAGGCAGCAGUGAGGAAUAUUGGUCAAUGGACGCAAGUCUGAACCAGCCAUGCCGCGUGCAGGAUGACGGCCCUAUGGGUUGUAAACUGCUUUUCCACGGGAAGAACCCUCCGACGUGUCGGAGACUGACGGUACCGUGGGAAUAAGCAUCGGCUAACUCCGUG